rnacentral:rRNA from 1 species
ACGAACGCUGGCGGCGCGCUUAACACAUGCAAGUCGCGCGAUGAAAUUUCGACAGAUCCCUUCGGGGUGAAGAUGAAAUGGAUUAGCGGCGGACGGGUGAGUAACACGUGAGUAACCUGCCUUUGACAUUGGGAUAGCCUCGGGAAACUGGGAUUAAUACCAAAUGACACUAACUGAUCACAUGAUCAAUUAGUCAAAGAAAUUCGGUCAAAGAUGGACUCGCGGCUGAUUAGCUAGUUGGUGAGGUAACGGCCCACCAAGGCGACGAUCAGUAGCCGGCCUGAGAGGGUGAUCGGCCACAUUGGAACUGAGACACGGUCCAAACUCCUACGGGAGGCAGCAGUGGGGAAUAUUGCACAAUGGGGGAAACCCUGAUGCAGCGACGCCGCGUGAGCGAAGAAGGCCUUCGGGUCGUAAAGCUCUUUUAUGAGGGAAGAUAAUGACGGUACCUCAAGAAAAAGCCCCGGCUAACUACGUG